GGGUGGGGAGCCAAUACAUUUAACCUUAGAAAGAAGAAGAAAAUCAAGUCAGAUUCCCAAGGCAGCAACAUCUGUUAUUCCCAAUUCAAAGGAGAGUGAAUUAAGGCCAGGUUCUUCCAAAAGACUAAAUGCUGUGCAUCCAUAGUAGGAAUGGUAUAUAUCGGGCAGCUCACCUGGAAAUUUACCAAAACCACCAUACUUGGAUUGGCAAGUUAUCAAAAAUUCACGUAAAGCUUUCCCAUCAAUCAAUUUGUAGCCUCCUAAAAUCCUCAAAACUGCUCCAACCCAAAAUGCAUAACAUGUGUCACUAGGUUUGUUUGGUCUACCUUGAAAACCACCAUCAGCUGCUUGUCUCUGCAAGCACCAUUCCAGCAACAAUGGAAGGUCUAUGACGGAAGAUGCUCCACUUGUAGACAGAAUGUCAUCUUCCAUAAAACCCAUCAAUCGUAGUGAUGCAACUGCACAGUAAGUUCCACCACCAUGAGAUUCUGAGCCAGGAACCAUCCCAAAG
rnacentral:misc_RNA from 1 species